rnacentral:rRNA from 1 species
GACGAACGCUGGCGGCGUGCCUAAUACAUGCAAGUCGAGCGAAGUUUUUCUGGUGCUUGCACUAGAAAAACUUAGCGGCGAACGGGUGAGUAACACGUAAAGAACCUGCCUCAUAGACCGGGACAACUAUUGGAAACGAUAGCUAAUACCGGAUAACAGCAUUAACUGCAUGGUUGAUGUUUGAAAGUUGGUUUUGCUAACACUAUGAGAUGGCUUUGCGGUGCAUUAGCUAGUUGGUGGGGUAAAGGCCUACCAAGGCGACGAUGCAUAGCCGACCUGAGAGGGUGAUCGGCCACACUGGGACUGAGACACGGCCCAGACUCCUACGGGAGGCAGCAGUAGGGAAUCUUCCGCAAUGGGCGAAAGCCUGACGGAGCAACGCCGCGUGAGUGAAGAAGGAUUUCGGUUCGUAAAGCUCUGUUGUUAGGGAAGAAUGAUUGUGUAGUAACUAUACACAGUAGAGACG